rnacentral:rRNA from 1 species
UUGGAAACCAGGAUUAGAUACCCUUCUAUACUCAAAUGAAACUUUAUUUUGCUGGAAUAGUAGUAGAUAUAUACUUAAAAUUUAAAAAAUUUGGCGGUACUUUAAUCUAAUUAGAGGAACCUGUUUCUUUAAAACGAUAAACCACGAAAUAUCUUACUUGUUUAAAAGCUUGUAUACCGUCAUUGUCAGAUAAUUUUUAAAAAAUAAAUUAUUUAAAUUUAGUAAAUUAAACUAUAUUAGAUCAAGGUGCAGUUAAUAAACAAGAAAAAAUGGGUUACAAUAAAUUUAUUUAUAACGGAGUUAUACUUUGAAAAAGUUUAGGAAGGAGGAUUUAAUKGUAUAAAAYYYKWRAUAGKGAKAGWUUUAGAAAUUAGCUCUAAAGUAUGUACAUAUCGCCCGUCGCUA